UUUACUACAAUGAGGCUUCGUGUGGAAGGUUUGUCCCACGCGCCGUGCUCAUGGAUCUCGAGCCGGGGACUAUGGAUAGUGUGAGGACUGGACCUUACGGACAGAUCUUUAGGCCCGAUAACUUCGUGUUUGGACAAUCUGGAGCUGGGAAUAAUUGGGCUAAGGGGCAUUACACUGAAGGAGCUGAGCUUAUUGAUGCUGUUCUUGAUGUUGUUAGAAAGGAAGCUGAGAAUUGUGACUGUCUGCAAGGUAUAAUUUUUUAAUUCUUCUUUCAAUAAAAUUUUAACUGUUUUUUUUUUUUAUAAUAUUGAUACUUGAAGUGACGUUUUAAUCUAUAGACCGACAGUCGAAUACUCUACCUAUAAAAUUUUGGCUAUGUGUCUAUUUAAUUACAGAAAAGGAAGUCCACAUUGAAUUAGAAUUAUGUUAGCAUAUUCAAAGUUCUUUAUGCGGUAAUUAAAACAUCUUGGUCAAUGGAUAAAAUAAUAAUGCUAAUGAAAUUUGCUUUGGAGAUCUUGGUGUUGAUGUUGGGGGUAUCUUGUUUCUUUAAUUUGGUCUUUGGUUUUUAUUUACAUAUUUAUUUGUUUGUGUGAAUAGGUUUUCAAGUUUGCCAUUCUCUGGGUGGAGGAACUGGUUCCGGGAUGGGUACCCUAUUGAUCUCAAAGAUCAGAGAAGAAUACCCUGAUAGAAUGAUGCUCACUUUCUCUGUCUUCCCAUCACCAAAGGUUUCAGAUACAGUGGUGGAGCCAUACAAUGCCACCCUUUCUGUUCAUCAGCUUGUUGAAAAUGCUGAUGAGUGCAUGGUGUUGGACAAUGAGGCUUUGUAUGAUAUCUGUUUCAGGACUCUGAAGUUAACUACUCCUAGCUGUAAGUUUAAAUUGUUUGACUUGAUAUUGUAUGAUUGCCUACAAUUUCUUUUUAAUGUACAAAAAUUGAUUGCGUGUGUUGGUUUGGUAUCUUGUAUUACUUCCAUUAAAUUUCUGCUUAAAACUUGAGCAGUAACUGAGUUGCAGAAUAACUCUGUGGAAUUGGUUUCAGUUGAAUUAUUUAAUAAUGUUUGCCUAAAGUUUUCUAUUGCUGGUUUUAUUGUCUGGAUUUCAUUCUAAAAGAUUAUGUAAAUGUACAUCUUAGAAAUAAGUGUUAAUAUCAGAUAAUAUUGAAGGGAACAGGAGAAUUAUUGUGAUCUAUAUUCAAGCAUAUUAGUGUAUUUUUCCCAGAUUUGGUUAUAGCGUGAGUCUUUUGUUCCUAACUAAUGCUAUGCGAUAGUAUUGGCUGGCUAGGCGUGUUCUUUUGAAAUAAUUGGGUAAGUAAUAUAAAUUUAUUCCUUUUUUCUAAAUAAAAAUUGAAUUCCCUCUUCUUACUGGCUAAGCAAGAAUUGAUUGAGAUUUAUGUGGGAAGUGCUAUACUCUUCUCCUGAAUGCUACAUUGCUCUAAGGCUAAUGCUGAAGUAACUUUCUUUUCUUGAUUGUAACAGUUGGUGAUCUGAACCAUCUGAUCUCUGCAACCAUGAGUGGUGUCACAUGCUGCCUUAGAUUCCCUGGCCAGCUCAACUCUGACCUCCGAAAACUUGCAGUGAACCUCAUUCCUUUCCCUCGUCUGCACUUCUUUAUGGUUGGGUUUGCUCCUCUCACCUCGAGGGGAUCUCAGCAGUAUCGUGCUCUAACUGUCCCAGAACUCACCCAGCAGAUGUGGGAUGCUAAGAACAUGAUGUGUGCUGCAGACCCACGACAUGGUCGCUACCUCACAGCCUCAGCCAUGUUCAGGGGGAAGAUGAGCACCAAAGAGGUUGAUGAGCAAAUGAUUAAUGUUCAAAACAAGAACUCUUCAUACUUUGUUGAGUGGAUUCCAAACAAUGUGAAGUCUAGCGUGUGUGAUAUUCCUCCUCGGGGCCUGUCUAUGGCAUCAACUUUCAUUGGUAACUCAACCUCCAUUCAGGAGAUGUUCAGGCGAGUGAGUGAGCAAUUCACUGCCAUGUUUAGGAGGAAGGCUUUCUUGCACUGGUACACUGGGGAAGGAAUGGAUGAAAUGGAGUUCACUGAGGCUGAGAGCAACAUGAAUGACCUUGUAUCUGAAUAUCAGCAGUACCAGGAUGCUACAGCUGAUGAGGAACUUGAAUAUGAGGAUGAGGAGGAGGAAGGUGUUCAUGAGAUGUGAGAGAUGUAAAGGCUGUAUGCUACUUUAUAUUGUGGAAUGUGGUAAUGCCUCGAUAUACUGCUUGAGAGUAAAAAAGUGCAAUUUUCUGUUAGAUUGAGUGGUAACAUAUGUGAAAAGCUGUUUGUAUUACUCUGUUAUAUGUUUGAAUUCUAGCCUUGCUGUUCAAUUCGUUUGCUAUAAUGAAAGUUAAUAGUAUUGGCUAUAUCUGUUUCUUUUCCUGCUAUUGUCUUUUUAUAUUUGGUAGAAAAUAUAAUGAAAUUCAUCUUAUUCCUAUGGAAUGUACUUGGAAUUUUGUGAAUGAGCUGAAGAUGGGCAAUGUGCAUUUUGUAUCUGAUUUUAUUUGUGGAAGGCAUUGGAGGUAUGGUUAUUUUUGCACUUAAAGAAUCAAUGUAUUAUGCUGUCAUUAGUUAGACUAACUUAAUUACCAUUAAUUUGAUUAAGAAAAAGGUUUAGUGACAAUGAAAUUGAUUAAAACAAAAAAAAAAGGAAAGAAUUUAGGGAAAUGGAGAAAAAUUGUGGGUAUUUUAAUAUUCAAAGUACACUUUGAACAAAUAUUAGUUCUACUGAUGGAAUCUUAAGAUUUGUUAUUUUUUCUAGAGAGAUAAAUAAUGUUUCAAACUAACGAGGUAAGUUUAUUUUCGAUAAGACUCGUGGAUGACAGUAACUUUUUCCUAAUUAAAUUAUAUAUUUUUUAAUAUAUUUAAUGCAUAAUUGGAUUAUAAUUGAAGCUAAUUAUUUAAUUUGAUUGUAAUUAAAGAUGAUUGAUUUUAAAUAUAACUAAUUAUAUUUCGACAUAAGAAUUAUGCUCCAAGAUGUCAUUUAAAAUUUCUACCAUAGUAACCCCAUUCAUUUAAAAAUAAGAAUUUUAAAUGACAGCUUAAAUAAUGAUUUAUAACUUUCGAGAAAGAAUUUAUAAAUAUAAUAAUUUUAAAAUUUAAAUCAUCUAAAAAAUAAAAUUAAAAAAAUACAUUAUCUUUUAAUACAAAUUAACAUAACAUGGUAGGGAAAAGGUGGAUAGAAAUUCGGAACAAGUCACUUAUAGACUAACGAUUAACUAAUGAUCAUUAAAUUCAAAGACUUGUAUUCUGCUUAGAGGUAACCAUAAAUGAGAUCAACCUUAGUUAACACUUUGAAAUCUUAAAAGGUAUUAAUUUAAGGAAAGUUUAUUAUUACAAUAUAAAAAAUAAUUUUUAUAUAUUUAAAUAUAUUUUAUAAAUAAAAUUUAAGUAAAAAAUUAUUUGUUAAUAUAAUAAUUUAUAACAUAUAUAAUUUGAAGACCCAAAUCUGGCUCUACAUUGAGCCACGUUUUUAUUCUUUUAGACUGACAUCUGGAAAGGUAUAAAAAUAUAAAAAAGUGUUAGCUUUUGACUUUUUCAAUUUUGGAAAUUUCAACACCUUAUGCAGUGCCUCCAUAUGUACCUUCAUUGCUAUACCACUAGAAAGUUAUGAGCUUAAAAAAAGGAAGCUGAUGUUUGGCUUUUACAGGCUUCGGUAUUACAAUUAAUUGUUUGAGUGUGCAACACAUCUAAUUUGGAUGAACUUCUCUUCUUCCAUUCAGAACUGCAUUUGAUCUUAUCGCUUUUAGUUAGAUUUUUUUUUUCUUUCUAGAGAUUUCUUUAGUUGUUUAUAAGUUUCUUUACUUUUCUUUUUUAAAAAAUAAAUUUCUUUACUUUUAUCUAUAACUUAUAUAAUUUGAAGAUAUUUGGCCACAUUUUUUUCUCAUAAACUGUCAUGUGGAAAGUUGUGACUUUUAUAACAUACUUAAAAGGAAGCCUGAAGCUUUUAGAGUUAAUCGCUUGGAGGGCACAGAGAGUGAAAGAGAAAAGAUGUUGAAGCAAAGAGAGAAAGAGAGGGGUGCAAAAGGGUAAGAGUGAACCACGUGAAGGGCAAAUAGAGAGAAAGAGAAAAGAUGUUGAAGCAAAAUAGAGGGGGUGCAAAAAGGUCCUUGUGUUGCACAUGGGUAAUAUUCUAGUAAUAAUUAAAAAUCGAACCGAACUUAAAAAACAUGUCCAAGGCCUGGCUUGAGGUGAACUAGGCCCGUGGACCCCUCUACAGUUUAGUAAAGCCUUUGAUUAAAGUCUGAUUAUGUCUACCACAUUGGUAGCUUUGUAGUGGCUAUUGUUGAAGAUGGGUGACUUUGAACUACUGGAGUCAGUUUCACUAGGAAAACAGAGACCAAGACAAGAGAGUUGUAAUUAUACUUGUCAAAGGCCUAUAUUUAAACCAAGCCUAAAUGGGUCAGCUCACCAAAUCAGUGGGCUGGGGCGGAUCAGUCUUAUAAGUCAAAAAAAUUAAUAAUUUUAUAUAUUUAACUAUAUAAAAUUAAUAAUUAUUAUCAAUAAUCUUACUUAUUUUAUAUAUUUUAAUGUAGUUAAUCUUUACUUAUCAAAUUAAUAAUUUUAAUUUAUGAAUUAAAUCAUAAAAUAAUUUUAUAAAUAGAUAAUUUAUUAAGUAAAAUUAUAAAAAUAAAUUUUUUUAUUUGAAAAAAAAUGGGCUGACCCAGCCCAGCCCAUGGGCUAGCAAGGGGUGGGUUGAGUUGAGGAUUUCACAGCCCAUAUAAAAAAUGGGCUGGCUCGACCCGACCCAUAUUUUUUCAGCCCACAAAAGCUGGGGUCGGGUUGGCCCAUAUUGACAGGUCUAGCUGUAAUCAAGACAUUAUGCACACAAAUUUUUUUACUGCACAAUUUUUUAUAAUAAUUAAAUCAAUAAUAAUAAUAAAAUUUAUAAUUUUGAUCAGUCUUGUUGUUUUGUUUUGUUUUUUUGCUGCACCUUUUAAUAAAUAAAUAAUAAUUUAAAAUAUUAAGAAUGAUAAUAAAAUUUAUAAUUUAUACCACGAUAAUAAAUUUUGAUAUUUCUUUAGACAACAUAUUUUUUUUAUGUAGUAAAAUCUUAUGAAUGUAACUAUUUAAUCUUUUAAUAACAUUCUCAUAGCAAUAUAAAAACUUUAUUAAUGUACUGCAUUCUUUAUAAUGUUAUGCAUAAAAAUGUUAUAAAAAAGUGACUACUUUUUUUUAUAGCACAUUUUAAAAAUACGUAAAAGUGACUAAGUCAAAUUUGUAAUAAUGAGCAUAAAGAAAUAAAUAUAAUAUUGCAUAUGAGGAUUUAUCUCAUUUUUGGCAUGAUGUUCUCAAGAUUGAUGAAGUUCCUCAUAUUCCUUAUAAUAUAAUGCAUAAAUUUGAGUGUGAUUAUCACGUGAGUCUUUUUCUGUUGGCAACUUUUUCUCUUGUGUUUCAUUGUUUCCUUUCGAAGAGCUUUACAUACACUUAGCUAAGCUUAAAAGUUGCACUCGUAUGGCUUUUAGUAUUUAGACUUCUAUUGCUAGUAGUGCUUCUGACACUUGUGUAACACAUAUAUAAUAGAACAAUUUUAAAGUUGACUUGUGAUUGCUAAUGUUCCAUAAGUAAAUACUUCUUCAAAAAUGGGAACUAAAGUUACAAUUCAUUUAUGAUGCUAGCAAAGAUGAUACUGAAGUUGGGAGAGAUUGCAUCUAAGAUUAUUUUACUAAAGAAUCGUGAAAAGGAAUUACGAAGAUGAGUAGAUGCAUCCUUAGAUACUUCUUCCAACAUAAAAAAUAACGACUCCUCUCUAUGAAACUCUAUAAUUGGCUACUCUUUUAUUAGUUUUGUAAACUCAUCAGAGUGAUGCUAUUUGUAUGAAUGUUACUUGCUCACACUUUAUAUUACUAUAUAUGGUCAAAGGGGAACCCCUUAACUCUACAUUAAAGAGGUUAACUUUUAACCUGAUGUCAAGGAGAUUAGUUCAACCUUUUAUAUAAGCUAAAAGUCGUGACCAAUUUGUGAGUAAUAAGCUAUGGCCAAGAAAUGAGAAAUAAAGCUUGCGGCCAAUGGCAUAAUAUCAUUACAGCCAAAUUAUGAACGAUAAAGCUAGGGCUAAAAUAUGAAUGAUAGUUUAUGGUCAAAAAAUGAGUAGUGAAGCUUGCGACCGAUAGAAAAGAUAUCUUUGCAGUUACUGUAUAAGUGGUAAAACUUGCAACUAAAAUAUGAAUGAGGAGCUAUGGUCAAAGAAUGAACAAUAAAACUAACAAUCAAUAGCAAAAUAUCAUUAUAGCCCAAGUAUAAACUGUAAAGUUUGCAACUGAAAUAAAAAAGAUGAACAAUUGCUAAAGAAUGAGCGAUAAAGCUUGCGACCAAUGGUAUAAUAUAAUUUCAACCAAAGUAUAAACUAUAAAGCUAAUAGUUGAAUAUGAACUUCUUUUCCUUCCAAAUGUCAAAUUUCAAUACAUAUAGUAAUGAAGAGUUAAAGUCAUAGAAAUAUCAUACAUAAGUGGGAAACAGGUUGUUUUGGACCUUGUUGUUCCCAAUUAAUAACUCUCCUGCUUGUGUCUUCUUGUGGAAUAUUAUAUGGUUUCUACAUUCAAAAAUGAAUGAGUAACUAUUUGGUGAUAAUCAGAAUACCUUCACUUUAUAUAGUUGAAUUGUCUAUCUUUUCCAAUAACACAAAGUUUUGCUGGUGAAAUUUUACUUAAUGUAAUAACUCUUCUUAAGUGGAGUUGUCAAAAUGUAAAAAGGUUCUUUAUGAAAGAGAGAGGAAGCAUUGCAAACAAGUAAAAAGGAUAUACUAGAGGCGACAGAGAGGAUGACUAGAGCAGUUCUUCAAGUACUGAGUGUCAUAGCAAGUGGAAGAGAAUAAGUGAAGAAUUAUUGAGUAGAAGAGAAUUAAAGAGAGAAUUUAGAAAGAAAAACUUUGAGUGGAAUGUGGUACCAGCUUUAGAAAAAGAAUACUUCAAAUGAAUUUUGAAAGCUUUAUAUAAAGUGCCAGAAAUGACAAUUACUCUAGAUUAGGCUUUAAUGUUGGGUAUCCGUUACUGAGCUUUAAUGUUGAGUAAUAGUUAGAAUCACAUUUGUAAUUAUUGAAUUAGUGGGUUUUAUUAUCAUUAAUAAUAUAAUAAGAUUUAUUCUUGAGUAGAAGGUAAAAGGAAGAGGCAUACGAGAACAAGUUAAGAGAAAAAGAUGUACGUGAAAAGGUACAAAAGAACAAGGUAAGAGAAAAGAGGUGUAUUUGAAAAGGUAAGAGGGAAAAACAUUUGUACUUCAGGAAAAGGUUAAGAGGAAAACCUCUUAACUACCUCCAUAUCUAAGCCACUAAGCCAAACUCUCUGAAACAUCCCAAGGUGAAAGUAACCUGUGAAUCCUGCCACUUAUACUGGGUUGCUUUCACUGCUAUUUGUAUGAAGUAGUUAUUCAGUGAAAAGUAGUUGUUCCACUUACGUUAAUUAUUCUGCGUAAAUAUUGUUUAACUUGUUUUCAUUAUUCUCUGUACAACACUACAUUUUAACAAUUCUUAAGUAGUAACCAAAAUUAACUUUCUACUAUUAAAAUUUAUAAAUAGAUUUGUUCUAAGGGGACUUUGUGUUCAUUUUGUUAAUAUAGUCUUUAAUACUGAUAAUAACCACUCAAUAAUGCAAACAUACAACUUCACCACAUACAAGCUUAGUGAUUAUGAUGAUGCUUUAGAAAACAAUAACAUCAAAUGGUCAAUGGCCAAUCCAUCGACCAAGGUGCCUUAUCUAAUCUUAGUGGCAGUUCCUUUGAUGAAGGAAAGGAUAAAUUAUUUUUUCUCCAAUGAUUAUGAUGGUGAAUAAUCCAAGAAUGGUUAGCAAUUCAAAAUAAAUGUGACUCAUGGCCAAAGGUUACCCAGGAGCCUAAAAGAACCAGAUGACACCCUAGCUCCAAAUAAUCUUGAUUUUUGGAGUGAUGAUUUUGCCCUAGAUACCAUUGUACCUUCAAACUUCAGUCAUCCCAUUGAAGAGGAAAGUGAUAAGGAUGAGGGUUCGAGAUCGCCUUCUUUACUUUUUAACUCAUUUACCAGGACAUUGAACGAGUUUUUAAUAUUAAUAGGAAUUUUUUGCAUAUUUUGAAUUUUUAUAGUUGACUUUAUUUAUUUUUGAAAGAAACUUGACUGUGUUUUUUUAUUAUAUAUUCUUUUUUCUUAUAUAGAAUAAAAUUGGCAUCCUUGUGAUUUUAUUUGUGAAUUGUGAGUGUAAGUGUGUAUGAGUAUCCAAGGAAUACAUUUGGUAUUACAAUAAUAAUAAUAAUAGCGUAUAAGUAUUUGAACAUUUGAUUCAAUAAUUGUUAUUGAUUUUUUUAAGAUAAAAAAUUAAUAGUAUAACACAAUAAUUUUAAACCAUAAUUUAUUUAUUAAUUGUUGUUAUGUUUAAAUGGGCCAAAACUUGUAGUUAGAUUGUAUAUUAUAUAUAGGAAAUAUAUUCUAUGAAUUGGAUAACUUUUGGCCAAAGAAAAGAACAAAUUAUGAAUUAGAAAGAAGGCUGGUCUAAAUCUAGCCAACUUUAAUGAUCUUAAAUUGGUGCAUCAUUAAUUAGUGGAACAAAUUAAACCUUAGUCAUAUAGUUAUGUUCUUGUUAAAGUUGAUGCAUAGAUGUGUCGUUUUAAUAUAUUUAUCAAAUUUUAGUUUUAUUUAUUCUCAGUGUAAAGUAAAGUCUAUAGGUAGUAGUAAAGAAGAGAAAAGAGCUUGAGCACGUGGUUGAUAUGUGAUAUUAACUUAAUUUACUAUGGUUAGCUGGUUAUUAGUUCGUGUAGUUGGCAAAACUAUUUUAGUAUGAAUACUUGAAGCAUAAUGUAACUGUUUACAAAAAUAUAAAAUGAAGUUCAUUAGUUUUUCCUUUUUCUCUCUACCUCUUUAACUUUUACUAUUUUCCUUAAAUUUUGUUCAUGUCUUAACAAUAUGAAAUUCAUGAAAUUUACAUGGUAUUAUAGUGGCUUCAUCUUUCUGUCUUUGAUUAAAAAAAUAUAUGUAGUAAUUCCUUUUCUUUCACUAGUAAUUCGAAAAUCCCUCUUUCUUGAUAUCAUAAAUAUCAUGUUCUUAAUUUCAUUCUGAUUCUUGAAAUUGAAGCCCUAAGAUGUCAUCUACAUCAACAAAAACCUCAGUUUCUCUUAUGGAAGAUUUACAUUCACCUUAUUAUAUCCAUUAUUCUGAUUAUCAUGGAUCGGUAGUGAUAAACCCCUAAACUUUCAAAUAUAAACUAUUUAGCUUGGAGCCAAUACUUUUUUUUGGCUUUUUCAAUCCAAAACAAAUCCAGAUUUAUUGAUGGUACUAUCAAACAACCAAAACCUACAGGUGAGUUGUAUGUUUAUUGGACCCGGUGCUACAAUUUAAUUGUUGCGUGUUCGUUGGAAUCCUUAACUUUAGAUAUAGCUUCUAUGGUCUUCUAUGUUAACUUGGCUUAUAAAAUUUGGGAGUCCUUGAAGGAAAGAUUUAGUCAACUAGAUGAUUCAUGAAUAUAUAAUCUUCAGUUUACUCUUUGUACUAUCACUUAAGAAACCAGGUCAAUAGUUGCUUACUUUACAGAGUUAAAGGCACUGCGGGAAGAAUUGCGUAUUUAUAGACCUUUUUCAUAUUGUGAAUGUAUUUUGUGUAAAACUAGCUAUAAGAAAUUUGUUGAUGUAUAUCAUAAAGAUAGUGUGUUUCAUUUCCUUAAUGCAUGGCGUAAAUGAGUCGUAUUCAGCCUUAAGGUCAUAAGUGUUAUUGAUGAAACCGGUUCCUAGUCUUAACAAGGCGUAUAAUCUGGUGCUUUUGAAAAAAGUUGUGUAGGUCAUUAUUAAUGUAGUCAUAACCACCAAUUGAAACUUUAGCUAUGGCAACAAUUACGGAGAGUAAGAAAAGAAACAAUAAUUUGGUGUGUUCCCAUUGUAACAAGAAAAAACAUAUUAAGGAGAAGUGUUAUAAACUCAUAGGAUUUCUAGAGGGAUUCAAGUUCACUAAAUUGAAGGGAAAUUUCAAAAAAGGGGUGGCAUCAGCCAAUAACACAAUUACUACUGAUACUGAAGAAUCUGUUGAGGGUCAUGUUGUCAGUCAAGUAUCACAACUUUCUCUUAUUAAAGGACAAGUUCAUAAACUUAUGGCACUCAGUGUUGAACAUAAAGGAACAAAUGCUGGACAAGAGUAAUCAAAAUCCAAUUAUCAACUAGAUAAGCUUUCCAUUAUAAAUUCAGCUCUUGCAGGUAUAAUUUCCAACUCUACAUGUUUAUCCAUUGUCAAUUUUACAUUAAAACCUUGAACACUCUUAUUAGAUAACACAUGGACUAUAGACACAGGAGCCACAAAUCAUAUAGCAUGUUCCUUAUAUUUUUUCAAUCAAGCAAAACUAGAAAACAACAUGUUUGUCUAGUUGUCAAAUAAAAAUAAGGCAAUUGUUAGUCUAUAGGAAUUGUCCAAUUAACCAAAAAUCUUGUUCUAGAUAAUAUUGUACUUGUACCCUAUUUUAAUUUUAACCUUUUGUCAGUAAGUCAAUUUACACAAUAGAAGAAAUAUUUUUUUGUAUUUACUAAUAACUAUUGUCUAAUUCAUGAUAUUAGUUCAUAGACUUUGACUAGUCAUGCUAGAGUCAUUGCUAGCUUGUAUAUCAUGUAAGGAACUCUUAGUGCACAAAUGCCUUUAAGAACUAAUGAUGUUUUUAUAAAAACAAAUAAUGUUGUUUCUAGUACUUCUUCAGUUUCUAAAGCUAGUUGUAAUACACUUUCUUGUGAUAAACUUUGUGAUACUUUUGAUAUUUGGCACUAUAUGUUAGGUCAUGUUUUUGCUUAAAGAAUAAAACAAAUUCAAGAGUCUUGUAAUAAUGUAGUCUUUCAAGAUUGUUUUCAAUGCAAUGUAUGUCCUCUUACAAAACAAAAUAGACUACAUUUUCCUGUACAUGUUCAAUCAAUACCAAAUAUUUUUGAAAUUGCUUAUAUGGACAUAUGGAGCCCUUACUUUACGUCAACUUUGACAAGUUAUCAUUGCUUUUUAACCAUUGUAGAUAAUUUUUCUAGGCUUACUUGGUUGUUUUUUAUGAGGUUUAAAUAUAAUGUUGCAACAAUUGCUCCUAGAUUUUGUAAAAUGAUUGAAAAUUAGUUUAACAAAAAUGUUAAAUGCAUUCAAAUAGAUAAUAGAAGUGAAUUUAGGUUAGUUCAAUUUUACUCUGAAAAUGGAAUUAUGUAUCAAUUGUCAUGUGUGGAUACACCUCAACAGAAUGAUACUAUAAAGAAAAAACAUCAACACAUUCUUAAUGUAGCUAGAGCUUUCCUUUUUCAAUCAUCCUUACCUAUUUCUUUUUAAGGCAAGUCAGUUUUAACAACAGCUCAUAUUAUUAAUAAAGUACCUUCUCCACUUCUUAAAAAUAAGACACCUUUUGAAAUAUUGUUCAAUAAGCCACCCACAUAUUCAUACUUCAAAGUCUUUAAUUCAUUAUGCUUUGCUUGUACUCUUGCACAUAAUAGAAAAAAGUUUGAACCUAGAGCUAAAAGAUGUAUUUUCAUUGGAUAUCCUAUUGGUGUUAAGGGAUAUAAGUUUUAUGAUAUUGAGGCUCACAAGUGUUUUUUUUUUUCCAAAGAUGUUUUUAAUGAGAGUGUAUUUCCCUUUAAAAAUACUGCAUCAUCAUCUUGUUCUCAACCUUGUCACUUUUUUUCUAUUCGCAUCCUUCAUAUUCUUUACCAUAUGAAACUUUUAUUCAUUCAUUGAGUACCAAUCAUCCUUCUUCUCCUAAUCAUUCUUUACUACUCAACACAACAUCAUUUUUUGACUAUAAUAAUUUCAUACCAAAACCCUUACAAUCCUCCAAUUCCCUUUAUUUAAUUUCUUCAUUUUCACCAACUAAUUUAGAAAAGAGUGCUAGGAUUAGAAAACCCCUAAAAUACCUAGACAUUUACCAUUGUAAUUUUUCUUCUUCCACUAAAUCUAUUAUUGCAAUUACCUUUCACUUGCAAGAUUGUCUCUUAACCACAAAGCCUUUACUACUACUCUUACACAAGUACCAAAAUUUGACUCUUUUUCAGAAGUUGUUCAAUAUGUUUAGUCGAGGAAUGCCAUGAAAGAUGAGUUGCUUUGGAUAAUAAUAAAACGUAUACUAUUAUUUUUAUACUUUUUGAUUUUAAAGCUAUUGGCUGCAAGUAGGUUUAUAAGGUGAAAAUUAAAGCUAAUGUGAGUAUUGAUAGAUUUGAGGUAAGAUUAGUUGCAAAGGGGUACACCUAGAGAAAAGGUUUUGACUAUUAAGACACCUUUAGUCUUGUAGUUAAACAAACCAUUGUCAGGACAUUUUUGGCAUUGGCUGUUGUUCAUGGUUGGUCAUUAUCACAACUAGAUAUCAAUAAUAGCUUUCUUAAUGGUGAUUUGAUUGAGAAUGUCUAUAUGGAGAUUCCACAAGGUUAUGAGCCUAAGAGGGAGUGUUUACUAGGGUACAAAUUAUGUAAACUUCAAAAAUCCUUUUAUGGUCUUAAACAAGCAUCCAAACAAUGAAGUGUUAAGUUUAUGAAAACUUUAUUGCAGUUGGGUUUUAUGCUAUCAAAAUCAGAUUACUCUCUUUUUACUAAGAGUUUUUUAUAUAGAAAUUAUGUUGCAUUAAUAGUACAAAUACCUGAAGCAUAAUAUAACUGUUUACCAGCUGAAUAUAAAAUGAAAGUCAUUAGUUUUUCCCUCUUUUCUCUACCUUUCGACUUUCACCUUUUUCCUUAGAUUUUAUUAAUGUCUUUACAAUCUAGAAUCCAUGAAAUUUACACUUGAUUUUUUUUUGUCAUUAAUAUGAGCAUCCUUUAAUCACCUUUUGGUCUAUAUAAUAUAUUUAUUUUUAGGUGAGAUGAAUUGUUUUAAUGAGAUUGUUUUUACAUUUUCUUGAUUAAAUAAAUUGUUAUUAUAUUUACAAUUACAAUGUUGCGUUUUUUAUAAAAUAGCAUUUUUUUUGUCUUCCUUUUUUUUCAAAUUGUACUAGUGGAUUGUGCAAAUUUAUUAAAUUUAGAAAAUGUAAUUGCCAUCAUUACAAUAAACAGACGUUAAGUGGAAAUUCUCUAAGGGUAGGUUUAGUUUGCAAAGUAGAAUAGAGUGAGAAAGGAAUAACCAUUACAUAGAAAUAAAAUAAAAAAAGAAUAAUUAUUAUGUAGUUUGAUUCAUGAGAAUGAAAAAAAAUAGGAAUUGCUAUUAUAACUUAUUUUAAUAUUUGGUUGACAAGAAUAGUUAUAAGAAUAACCAAGGAAUAUGUGAUAAAUGAUAAAUAUAUCUUUUGUUAUAAUAUAUAAUUAUUUUAUUUUAAAAAUAUUAAAAUUUUAAAUAUUAUUUUUUAAAAUUUUAAUUUAAUUUUAAAAUAUAAAAUAUUAAUUUUUAGCUUUUCUUUUUUUUUUUGUUUCAUUCCAUUCUAGUAUUUUCAUUUUUUUUUUCUUUCUUCUCACCGACCGAUCACUAGAGAUGUGCCCGACGUAAUGGAGUGUCGAUUUCAUGCUCCUUAUGGCCGAAUUUGGUGGAGGAACGCCAUUUGACACUUCCCGCAAUUAGCAUCGGUGUUGUUACCGUCAAACAGCUUUGCCCUUUGCCACCCUUCAUUAAGCAACUUUACAGAGAGUAAGAGAGAGGUAAAGAGAGAAAGAAAAUGUGAAAAAUGAAAAAAAAAUGUAUGGUAUAUAUGAUGGUAUUUUUUAAAAUUUAUUUCAAGGUAAUUUUGUUUAACAAAACUUUUUACUUAUUCCACUGUCUUGGAAUAGCUAUUAUUGAGGUCUCCUUAGUAAUGGCUAUACAGGUUUCUUAAUAAAGGGGAAUGACUAUCCUAUUUCGUCGAUCAAACAUGCUAUAAAUUAUUAAAAUUACUUCCCAUCAAGCCAAUUAAAUUGUAAAAUCAAAUAUAGUGUAAUAUAAAUUAUAUACAGACCAAUAAAGGUAUAAUACCUAAAGAAACCUCUGAACUAUUUAGAAAAAUUUAAAUAAAUUUUUAUUCUUUUAUUGCAUUCAAUUAAGCUCUUAUAUUUUUAUUUUAAAUCAAAUAAAGUUUUAUAACUAAUAGUUGACUAAUUAUUAUUAGUUAAAAUAUCUCUUGUCAUUUUACACCGCUUAACGUUAAAGUCGUAUAAUAACAUAUUAUAAUGGAUGAUGACGUGAUAUGUUGUGUGAUAUUUUCAACCUUCAUGUCAAUGUCACAUCAAUAUCACAUAGGCACAUAAUGACAAAUGGUAUUUUACUAAUGUUAAUUAGUCAACCAUUAAGAGUAUAUUUUAUUAAAAAUAAAAAUAUAAGAAUUUAAUUAAAUAUAAUAAAAAAUAAAAAUUUAUUUAAAAAUUUUUAAAUAAUACAAGAGUUUUUAUAAGUAUUAAGCCGACUAAUAAAUUAAUGUGAAGUAUGGCAAUUAUUGGAGGAACAAUGUUCCUAUAGAGAUGACAAAGAUACGUUUUAAUACCAAUGUAAAGUGUUUUGUCCAAGUAUAAUAGACAUUGGACUUUCAUUUACAAAUUUUUUGUUUCCCUGCCUGAUAACUGGUCCAAGGCUCUCGCAUCUAACAGCAAAGUGAUAAAGAAACCUAAGCUAAGCUUCGGUUCUGACAAAGUUGAUUAAAUAAUUUUUAUGCUGAGGAUAAAACAUUAUUCAUCACAAAAUGUACUUGGAAUUGAGAAUUAUCACAGUGUCCGACGGCUUUAAUACUCAAAGAAAAAUAAAUAUUCACAAAGUUAAUUUAUAAUUUUUUUUGGAGUAAUCAAACAAAAUAACAUUACUCUUUUUACAUUUGAAAAUAAAAAAGAUAAAUUAGGCAUCACUCAACUGAGGUCUUUUUUGGGUAGGAAGAAAGCAUCAUGUAAUAAUUAAUUAAUUGAUUAAUUUUAUCGGAGAACGAAAAUUCAAAUAUAAAUUUUUAAAUAAAAUGAUAUAUACAUCUGAUAUGGAGUCAAAUGUGUAAACUGUGCAAUGGUUAUUCUAUUUGUGUGAAUCAAAUGAGUAUCUCCGACGUAACAGUAGACUGGAGAGAUAAGGUCUAUAGAGUAGUUGAAUCUUUAAAUGGUAUUGGCCUGCUUGGUACCAUGUGCCUCAAUUUUGUGCUUUUUGAUUUGUUCAAGUUUUUAUAGCAGCUUACCUCACAUGCCAUUCAUGUUCGUAGCCAAUAAUCGACUGACCUUGUCACGUGAUAAAACGAUAAAUAAAAGAAACAUAUAGAGUUAAGUUUUUUCCUCCAAGGUGAUGAGUGAUAAUGUCACUCUAAAAAGUGAGUAUUGGUGGCUCAUCCAUUUGAUUUUGAUCUUUCAACAAAUUUGCCCUGACCAUUUGUUUGCUUUUGCUUCAUUUAGUGGGAUAAAAUCCAAACCGUGUAAAACCUACAAUCUAAUAUAAUAAAUAUAUGAUAAACAUAUAAACAUUAGUGUGAAUCUAACUUAAAUGGGGACCGACAACUUGUUUUAAAAUAAACCUCUUAGGUUGCCAUGCCAACUUUCUCUUCUUCCAUAUUUGUUGAGAUUUAUGGACAAUAACACUCCUAAACUUAGAAGCAAUAAGUAAAAAGGAAUGAGUUGGAGGGGAGGGGGAUAUGCUUGGCCUAAAACCUAAGCAAAAAUUGAGUUAUGAGUGUGUGAAAGAAUUGAGUUAUGAGUUACUAAAUGUUAUGAGGAUGGUUGGCAGGUCACAUGGCCAUCUCUCUCUCAUGUGGCCCUUACAGCAAAGCUUCUCCACCUUAUCUGUCUCUAUUUGGUCCAUGGUGGAUGCAACAACCAAAAUCUCUCUCCUCAUUUCUUGAUCCAACUAAGGAAAUUACUACCUGCUCCAUCCAAAUACAUCAUGGCAAAAAUUUCCUAGUUUAACACAAGAAUAAAGUUUUAUACAGUGAUGGGAAAAAAUACCCUUCAUUUUGAAUUAGAAUUAAGCAAUUUUUGCAUAUAAACAGACCAAGUUACCCUUGAGUGGGACAAUGAAUUCUUAGGAAUGGGUUGCUUCCCUACUACUAAGAUCAAACACCAAAGGUGGUUAUACCAAAAAGUGAUGACCAAUUCCCAGUUUGAUCAAGAAAUAGGAGGUUAAGUCAACAUGAAGAUUAUGGACUUAUGGUCAUCCAAUUAUAUCAUGCAUAACUACGUAUAUAUCGGAUUAUAGACAUUUAUAAAUUAGUUAAAUAAAUUUUAUCAAAUCAUUGAAAUAUUUAUUCACCUAUCAUUUACAUAUACAGAAAGACAAAAUUUUAUGUAAUAUUGGGCAUGGAUUUAACUUAUAUUAGUUCUACAAAUAAAAAAAAUGUAUUUUGUUUCAUUUAAUUAUACUUUUAAUCAUUUACUUUUAAAAGAAAAAAAAUUACCUUUUAAAAAAAUAUAUUAUAUGCAAACACACACAUAUUCUCAAUGAAAAUUUUUACCCGCUUUUUAAAAAUAUAAAGAAGCCAUAUUUGGAUUAAGAUCAAUUUUACCUUACACUAUAGUAAUUCAUAUAUUAAAUAUAAUUUAAUGUACUUAAAUAAAUAUUAAAUAAUUUCUAAAUCAAUAUCCAAAAUUCUCUUGUUUUUUCUUUUUCAAAUAAUAAUUCAAAGGUCUAAUACCUAAAAAAGUCUCGAAAUUAUUUAAAAAAAUUCCGGUAAGUUUUUAUAAUUUUAUUAUGUUCGUUGACGCUCUUGUAUUUUUUUUAAUCCAAAUAAACCUUAUACUUUUAUUGUGAGUAAAAUGAGAUUUUAUAAUUAAUGAUUAACUUAGUUAAAAUAUUUUUUAUUAUUUUAUAUCGUGUGACUUUAACGUGGCAUGUUAAUAUAUCAAAAUUGAUGAUAAUGUGAUAUACUGAUAUAUCACAAUUUAUAAUAACUUAGAUAUUUAUCAAAAUUGAUCUAAAAUAAAAAUAUAAAAGACUUUAUUUAAAUUUUUUAAAAUAAUUUAGAUAUUUAUUUGAGUAUAAUGUCUGAUUCAAGGGUAAACAAGUCACUUGAGAAAAGGAUAUUUCCGUCAAUCUAGACGCCUCGAAAAUUUAAAAAAAAAGAAAAACCCACAGAAACAAAAUCCAACGGCAUCCAACGGCCCAAAAACGGAAAAGGAGGGAAACAAUAUCAACCGUCCGAUCUCACAGCCUUGACCUUCAAUUCUCCGUUAUAAAAAUCCUCAUUUCUUACUCCCACUGGCACUCCCCCAUCUCCACUCCCUCCCUCUCUUAUCUAUCAUCCUCCGACAUCCAUCCCCACUAGCACUCGCCUACUGUAAGCCCCAAUCCCCAGAUCUAAUUUUUUACUCAUUUAUUUUAUGCUUUUUUAGUUAUCAUUUCUUGAUUUUCGCAGGAAUUAAAAAAAAAUUUCAAAAACAAAAAUGAGGGAAAUCCUUCACGUACAAGGUGGGCAGUGCGGGAACCAGAUCGGAUCCAAGUUCUGGGAAGUGGUCUGCGACGAGCACGGCAUCGACCCCACAGGACGUUACAUCGGAAACUCCGAUCUGCAAUUGGAGCGCGUAAAUGUUUACUACAAUGAGGCUUCGUGUGGAAGGUUUGUCCCACGCGCCGUGCUCAUGGAUCUCGAGCCGGGAACUAUGGAUAGUGUGAGGACUGGACCUUACGGACAGAUCUUUAGGCCUGAUAACUUCGUGUUUGGACAAUCUGGAGCUGGGAAUAAUUGGGCUAAGGGGCAUUACACUGAAGGAGCUGAGCUUAUUGAUGCUGUUCUUGAUGUUGUUAGAAAGGAGGCUGAGAAUUGUGACUGUCUCCAAGGUAUAAUUUUUUUAGUUCUUCUUUUAAUACAAGUUUAACUGUUUUUUUCUUUAAUAUUGAUGCUUUAAACGACAUUUUAAUGUCUGUAAAAGCAUUUGGCUCAUUAGUUNACAUGGCAGAUUAAAAAAAUUUUCAAAAAAAAAAAUGAGGGAAAUCCUUCACGUACAAGGUGGGCAGUGCGGGAACCAGAUCGGAUCCAAGUUCUGGGAAGUGGUCUGCGACGAGCACGGCAUCGACCCCACAGGACGUUACAUCGGAAACUCCGAUCUGCAAUUGGAGCGUGUAAAUGUUUACUACAAUGAGGCUUCGUGUGGAAGGUUUGUCCCACGCGCCGUGCUCAUGGAUCUCGAGCCGGGAACUAUGGAUAGUGUGAGGACUGGACCUUACGGACAGAUCUUUAGGCCUGAUAACUUCGUGUUUGGACAAUCUGGAGCUGGGAAUAAUUGGGCUAAGGGGCAUUACACUGAAGGAGCUGAGCUUAUUGAUGCUGUUCUUGAUGUUGUUAGAAAGGAGGCUGAGAAUUGUGACUGUC
rnacentral:lncRNA from 1 species